rnacentral:rRNA from 1 species
UAGGGAAUCUUCGGCAAUGGACGGAAGUCUGACCGAGCAACGCCGCGUGAGUGAAGAAGGUUUUCGGAUCGUAAAGCUCUGUUGUAAGAGAAGAACGAGUGUGAGAGUGGAAAGUUCACACUGUGACGGUAUCUUAUCAGAAAGGGACGGCUAACUACGUGCCAGCAGCCGCGGUAAUACGUAGGUCCCGAGCGUUGUCCGGAUUUAUUGGGCGUAAAGCGAGCGCAGGCGGUUAGAUAAGUCUGAAGUUAAAGGCUGUGGCUUAACCAUAGUACGCUUUGGAAACUGUUUAACUUGAGUGCAAGAGGGGAGAGUGGAAUUCCAUGUGUAGCGGUGAAAUGCGUAGAUAUAUGGAGGAACACCGGUGGCGAAAGCGGCUCUCUGGCUUGUAACUGACGCUGAGGCUCGAAAGCGUGGGGAGCAAACAGGAUUAGAUACCCUGGUAGUCCACGCCGUAAACGAUGAGUGCUAGGUGUUAGACCCUUUCCGGGGUUUAGUGCCGCAGCUAACGCAUUAAGCACUCCGCCUGGGGAGUACGACCGCAAGGUUG